rnacentral:rRNA from 1 species
CGAGUAGGCGGAUAUGAAAGUCAGAUGUGAAAUCUCGGAGCUCAACUUCGAAACUGCGUCUGAAACUUCAUAUCUAGAAUCCCAGAGAGGGAAGGGGAAUUUCGCAUGUAGGAGUAAAAUCCGUAGAGAUGCGAAGGAACACCAGAGGCGAAGGCGCCUUCCUGGAUGGGUAUUGACGCUGAGGAGCGAAAGCGUGGGUAGCAAACA